rnacentral:rRNA from 1 species
AUGAAGUUUAAUUCCACAAAAGAGGCUUGGAUCUUUUGGACAUGUUAUGGAGGUCAUACUGGUUUUGAUGCAAGGGUAAAUUAUGAAAACAAGAGCAAACUUGAUGGAGUAAUCACUUCUACAAGAUAUGUCUGUUCUAAUGAAGGCUACAGAAGAAAAGACAAAAGGGAUAAUGAUACAAAGCGUCCUCGUGCAGAAACAAGGACCGGCUGCAAUGUUCGAAUGGGAAUCACUAUAGAUCGAGAAGCAAAAUAUUAUGAGGUGCAUGAGUUAGUUGUUGAACACAACCAUUGUUUGAAAUUACUUGGGACAAGCCACUUGAUGCCGUCACAACGGAAGAUUUCGGCCUUGCAAGCAUUUGAAAUUGAAACAGCGGAUGAUUCGGGAAUUGUACCUAAAAGAGCCCAUGAGUUAGCAAGUCGAAAAGUUGGUGGGCCACUGAACCUUGGCUACACAUGUCGUGAUCGCAAGAACCACUUGCGAACCAGGCGUCAAAGGGACUUGAUGUAUGGUGAAGCUGGAAGUAUGCUUAAGUACUUUAGAGAUAAAAAUAAUGAGAAUCCUGCAUUUGAAUAUGAUAUGCAACUAGAUUGCGAUGAACAAAUAUCGAAUAUCUUUUGGGCUGAUGCAAAGAUGAUCAUUGAGUAUGCUCAUUUUGGUGAUGUUGUUACUUUCGAUACAACAUUUGGGACAAACAAAGAGUACAGACCCUUCGGUGUUAUUGUUGGAUUCAACCAUUUUAGAGAAACUGUCAUUUUUGGUGCUGCACUUUUAUAUGAUGAGACAUUUGAAUCAUUCAAAUGGUUGUUCAACACAAUCCUAUCAUUGCACUUACCUCAUAAAAAAAAGACGAUGAGGGACCAAAUGUACUUGCUGAUUUAG